rnacentral:rRNA from 1 species
CAGCAGCCGCGGGAAUACGUAGGGUGCAAGCGUUAUCCGGAAUUAUUGGGCGUAAAGAGCUCGUAGGCGGUUUGUCGCGUCUGCUGUGAAAACUGGAGGCUCGACCUCCAGCCUGCAGUGGGUACGGGCAGACUAGAGUGCGGUAGGGGAGAUUGGAAUUCCUGGUGUAGCGGUGGAAUGCGCAGAUAUCAGGAGGAACACCGAUGGCGAAGGCAGAUCUCUGGGCCGUAACUGACGCUGAGGAGCGAAAGCAUGGGGAGCGAACAGGAUUAGAUACCCCCGUAGUCCCUGUCUCUUAUAC